CCCGGUGGCCAUAGCGGAGGGGAAACACCCGGAACCAUUCCGAACCCGGAGUGGGCACCCCAAAAAGUCACAGGACUUUUUGGGGACCCCGCGUUAAGCCCUCCAGCGCCGAUGAUACUGCUCUCGCAAACUGGGCGGGAAAGUAGGACGCUGCCGGGG
rnacentral:rRNA from 1 species